AUUGAACGCUGGCGGCAUGCCUUACACAUGCAAGUCGAACGGCAGCACGGGAGCAAUCCUGGUGGCGAGUGGCGAACGGGUGAGUAAUAUAUCGGAACGUGCCCAGUCGUGGGGGAUAACGCAGCGAAAGCUGUGCUAAUACCGCAUACGAUCUAUGGAUGAAAGCGGGGGAUCGCAAGACCUCGCGCGAUUGGAGCGGCCGAUAUCAGAUUAGCUAGUUGGUGAGGUAAAGGCCCACCAAGGCGACGAUCUGUAGCUGGUCUGAGAGGACGACCAGCCACACUGGAACUGAGACACGGUCCAGACUCCUACGGGAGGCAGCAGUGGGGAAUUUUGGACAAUGGGCGCAAGCCUGAUCCAGCAAUGCCGCGUGCAGGAUGAAGGCCUUCGGUGUAAC
rnacentral:rRNA from 1 species